AUCUAGAAAUAAAAAUAAUUACUACUGUGAAAAAAUUAGGAAGCUAAUUAUAGAAAUAAUUAGGUCUAUUUUGAAGUCGGUGAUUCAGGCUGCCCAUAGUCUGAUUCAACUUCACAUUUUGGAACCCCUUUGUCAGGUGGGAAAAAGCAAAACUGAGGUACUGAAGCACAAACUUGUGUUUUCACAAAAGAAGAAAUGGAGAGUACCCUGUGCCAAGAAUACCUUUUCAUCACACUUAUGCUAAGACCACUGCUACAGCCCUUGAACAUAAGGUCUCAACAAUAUGGUGAUAUCUGUUGCACUGAGGUAACUAAAAAUAAGUUGUGUUUUUUUAAAUCAGUUUGAUUAGACAAGUACAAUCACAUGUAUUCGUAUCUUCAUCCAAGUGGCAGUUUAGAUCAUGCCUUCCAUGUCAGCUGCAUUGCUGGCAUUAACACAGAAUUCCAGCUCAGAAAGGGUUGUGAAUGAGUGGCAACUUUGAUUUAGCCAGAAAGAUUUAUCAAUUACAGAGUCAGGGAAGUAACAGGCAGCUAUGUAAAGGCACUCCAGCUCCCACGGAAACAAAAGCUUGUACUUGGUGGAGACCAAGGCAAUAGCUAAAUUGAAACCAAUCUAUUUCACUCUUUUAAUAAAUGUCCAAAACAGAGGUUUUCACUGGUUUAAAGUUCUUGGACCAUCUUUUAAUCCAAGCCAGUUCAUGCUGUUCUGAAGCAUGUUUCUUUAUCUUAGCAGACAUUUAAAAGUUAAUGGACUACUGUUGGGCAUUCAAGCUCUUGUGAACAGUACUCUUCACUAUAACAAAGUAUCCUUGCACUUGGUAGAAAGUUAAGCAGUUGGUUUAACAAUAUUUACCAUUUUCUUUUUGGAAAACAGCUUUCAGUGUUGGAACCUUACUAAAAUCAACACGUUUGUAUUCUUCAUCUUCUUUCACUUCUGUAUCUGGCUUCCCUGAAAUUCAGAUUUGGUUUAGUAUUUUAUA